UACGGGGGGAGCAAGCGUUGUUCGGAAUUACUGGGCGUAAAGGGCGUGUAGGCGGCCGACUAAGUCGGGGGUGAAAUCCACUGGCUCAACCAGUGACGUGCCUUCGGGACUGGACGGCUUGAGUAUGGCAGAGGGAAGCGGAAUUCCAGGUGUAGCGGUGAAAUGCGUAGAUAUCUGGAAGAACACCGGUGGCGUAGGCGGCUUCCUGGGCCAAUACUGACGCUGAUGCGCGAAAGCCAGGGGAGCAAACGGG
rnacentral:rRNA from 1 species